CGUAGUAUGAACCCACACAUGCUAGAAAAACCUUCCUUUAUGCAGAAAAAGGAUGUAAGCAUGAAAAUUUAUUAGCAUUAAUGCACAAAAAUCAAUUAAAAAUAAAACAGUUCCUUCUAUGUCUAUAGACAAGACAAAUUCCUGCAGAUGAGACUACUGUAUGAUAACUUUGCUUUUGCUGUUAUUUUUUUGCACAGUAAACGUAAAUUGUACUAUCAAUAAGAUCUCUCUGGACAGUGACAGCCUUUAUUACAAUACCUUAUUAACAUACUUCUUUAAUCAUUUCAAUCUUGUACAAGUUAAUGUAAAUUUCUGAAAGCAAAAGGUGAUAUCGCAUCCAUUCUGCCAGAAGGUGGAGCUCCAGGAUCCAUCCUAGUUCAGUCUCAGUUCAGUUGUUUAAAAACAGAGCAGACAUACAUUGAGUCAGUCAUACUCAGAGAGAGAACUGUAAGUCUUGACUCUCAAAGUCAUUGUCUCUCAUUAGUGCAGAUGUUGCCCCUCGUAUUCAUUAUAUUUUCUCUCCUAAAAGAGACUGCUGGUGAAGAUGUCAUAAAACCAGUCUCCACACAGAAGCAGGUUUUGGAAGGAAAAGAUGUUACACUGAUCUGCAACUACACCGAAGCUGUUCAAAAUUUACAAUGGUAUCGUCACUAUCCCGGAUCCAAACCUGAGCACCUCAUCACGUUCUUUGAGACCACACAGAGCACGACAGAGGACGCUCUCCGUCUGACCGCUGCGGCUGAUAAAGCAGCUAAAAGUAUGACUCUGACGAUCUCUUCUACAGAAGUGAAAGACUCUGCCAUGUACUACUGUGCCCUGGUGCCCACAGUGACAGGAAACACAACUACACUGUACAAAAACAGAGUGAGAAAGGAUAUUUAAGACAGAAGACGAUGCACAAUGCAGAUUUUAAAACUACACUCUUUAUAAAGUGGACAAUCAAUUGUUACCUUUCGGAAUAGUUUCUAAACCCAUGUACAGUACAACUGGUAGUGUCCUCACCAUUAAUAUUAUCAGACCACUUCUU